ACGGCGAGUGAAGCGGCAACAGCUCAAAUUUGAAAUCUGGCCCCUCUGGUGCCCGAGUUGUAAUUUGCAGAGGGUGCUUUGGUGUUGGCUGUGGUCCAAGUUCCCUGGAACAGGACGUCACAGAGGGUGAGAACCCCGUACGUGGCCGCCAGUCUUCGCCGUGUAAAGCCCCUUCGACGAGUCGAGUUGUUUGGGAAUGCAGCUCUAAAUGGGAGGUAAAUUCCUUCUAAAGCUAAAUAUUGGCCAGAGACCGAUAGCGCACAAGUAGAGUGAUCGAAAGAUGAAAAGCACUUUGGAAAGAGAGUGAAACAGCACGUGAAAUUGUUGAAAGGGAAGCGCUUGGAGCCAGACGUGCCCGUAGAUGCUCAGCCGGGGUUCUCCCCGGUGCACUCUUCUGCGGGCAGGCCAGCAUCAGUUUGGGCGGUUGGAUAAAGACCUGCUAAACGUACCUCCCCCCGGGGAGGACUUAUAGGGUAGGCGGCAUACAACCAGCCCGGACUGAGGACCGCGCAUCUGCUAGGAUGCUGGCGUAAUGGCUGUAAGCGGCCCGUCUUGAAACACGGACCAAGGAGUCUAACAUCUAUGCGAGUGUUUGGGUGUCAAGCCCGAGCGCGCAAUGAAAGUGAACGCAGGUGGGAGCCCCUCGGGGCGCACCAUCGACCGAUCCUGAUGUCUUCGGAAGGAUUUGAGUAAGAGCAUAGCUGUUGGGACCCGAAAGAUGGUGAACUAUGCCUGAAUAGGGUGAAGCCAGAGGAAACUCUGGUGGAGGCUCGCAGCGGUUCUGACGUGCAAAUCGAUCGUCAAAUUUGG
rnacentral:rRNA from 1 species